ensembl:lncRNA
GUUUUGGACCCCACUGACUUUCAUUGUAUGGGCAAAAAAAAUGAGACAUCUUUUAUAUCUUCCAUGGAUGAAAGAAAGUCAUACUCACAACAUGAGGCUCUCCAGCAAUGGCUAAAAUUCCUGCUAAUCAGCUCUACAGACACCAGGAGUACACAAGGCCAGUCAUCGCAUGUAGAGCCGAGAGUGCAUUAGUAUGCCAUGGAGAAACACGGCGACUGUGAGUGGACACUUCAGCAAUUAGAUGUAUAGCACUUUGUGUGAACCCGCAGAGGUGCCAGUGCUCAUAUUCUGCUCAGCACCUGGGGGCAGCUUUCAUGCAUUGCUUUCCAACCGCUGCUACGUGUUCCACAUAUAGAUCGGCCCAUUAUUAAUUUUAAAUGUGUUGUAUCCAUUCCACAGUCUUUGGUAUUUUUGAUCAGUAGGGAUGAGGUAUGGAGAUGAACAAGGCACGGUUCAUUAUCUAGCCGUGUUUUACUGUGUAAUUUAUUGUUUGACUUGUUUCAGCAUCGUGCAUUGUGUCACUGUUGGUGUUUAACUGUUUUUUUUAUGUGUGGUGUUUGGACUUUGUUUUCUAGAAACUCUUUCUGAUUGCACAAGACUGUGUAAGAGAAGCGCUCAUGCCUGGCCUGAGACACAAACAAACCUCAUGAGAUGUGCUGCUGCUACUACUUCCUUCAACAUAUGAGCAAAUCCAUACACUUAACAAUGUUAGUAAGAAGUCACAAUAAAUACAAUCUUGACAAUGAUUUCCAGGUCGCAUCCUGCACUUUUCACCUUUUCCACCCUUCAUGAUCCUGUGGGGUGUCUGAGCCUGAGGGGGUGUUGAAUUCUGCCGGGGGGCGUAAUGUUUGAUUUGUGAGGAUGAGCUUCAGGCUCUUGAGGAAUAAUGGUCUGCAAUACAACAGUAUUGGUGCUUUGAUUAGAACUUUGUUUUUGUAUUGUGUGUGAUUGGGUUUCCAGAUAGCAUAUGAUGAUGAAUAAAAGUGAUGACUGGUGCUGACUGUUAUUUAUAAUGAUUCUUUUCUCUUGUGUUAAUUUAGAUUUUCAUGGUAUGAAAAUUUAGAUGGCAUGGAGAAUCUCACAAAAUGUCCGGGUCAUAUUUCAACCUAAAAUCAAAAGGAAAAAGUAGUUAUCUUUUAUAAAAUGAUGUUGUACUUUAAGAAAAUUAAGCAUAUUUUAGUACCAUUAGUACAUUUUUUUUUUAAUUGGGACAUUAUUUUAAUAACAUUUAAUCAC